GACGAACGCUGGCGGCGUGCUUAACACAUGCAAGUCGAGCGGUAAGGCCCUUUCGGGGGUACACGAGCGGCGAACGGGUGAGUAACGCGUGGGUGACCUGCCUUUAGCUCUGGGAUAAGCCUGGGAAACUGGGUCUAAUACCGGAUAUGACCCUAUGGCGCAUGUUGUGGGGUGGAAAGCCUUGUGCGGCUAGGGAUGGGCCCGCGGCCUAUCAGCUUGUUGGUGGGGUGAUGGCCUACCAAGGCGACGACGGGUAGCCGGCCUGAGAGGGCGACCGGCCACACUGGGACUGAGACACGGCCCAGACUCCUACGGGAGGCAGCAGUGGGGAAUCUUGCGCAAUGGGCGAAAGCCUGACGCAGCGACGCCGCGUGAGGGAUGACGGCCUUCGGUUG
rnacentral:rRNA from 1 species